GGCUGAAAUUCGCCUUCAUGAAGCCGGAAUUGCUAGUAAUGGCAGGUCAGCAUACUGCCGUGAAUACGUUCCCGGGCCUUGUACACACCGCCCGUCACACCAUGAGAGUUGGGAAUACCCGAAGCCUGUGAGCUAACUUUUAGAGGCAGCAGUCGAAGGUAGAAUCAAUGAUUGGGGUGAAGUCGUAACAAGGUAGC
rnacentral:rRNA from 1 species